UACGUAGGGUGCGAGCGUUAAUCGGAAUUACUGGGCGUAAAGCGUACGCAGGCGGCUGCGCAAGACAGGUGUGAAAUCCCCGGGCUUAACUUGGGAAUUGCGCUUGUGACUGGCGUGCUGGAGUGUGGCAGAGGGAGGUGGAAUUCCACGUGUAGCAGUGAAAUGCGUAGAGAUGUGGAGGAACACCGAUGGCGAAGGCAGCCUCCUGGGCCAGCACUGACGCUCAUGCACGAAAGCGUGGGGAGCAAACAGG
rnacentral:rRNA from 1 species